rnacentral:lncRNA from 10 species
GCUGCAGACUUGAACUUCUUUAUACAAGUUGUUUCAAACUGAUCUGAUGUCACUUUAUAUAUGACUUUUCACUUCACUGUACAUACCACUCAGUUAAGAAACAAUGUUGUAGAGGGCUGGAGAAACGCUACUGUGUUGAAUGUAUGCUGCAACUCUAAGAUGAAUCCCUAUUUUAGGAAUGCAAUGUUUUUAUUUAAUGCGUACUUUGGAAUUGAAGAAACAAGACUGUUAACUUCUGCCCUCCUUUUAGCUCACAGAAGACAACACUUUAUUGACCUUGAAGACACAAGUUACAUUUUUAAAAUACUGUUCUAUAAUAUCAGUCACACUUUGUAUAAAUAGAGACAAUUUUCUCCCCAAGUUGUCUAAUCUGCUAAGACAGGGGUUAGCAAACUUUGGCCCACCUCCUGAUUUUGUAAAUAAAGUUUUAUUGGAAC